CUACCCAUCGAAGCCACCGCAUACCACGCCGCAAGCCGCCGCCGCAAGUCGCCUGAAGGCCUCAUGCCGCAGUCGCCGCUCGCCCCUUUCUCUGUAGGUCGCCAACGCAACCCUCGGCCCCAGGGUCGUUCCCUCCUCCCCACCAGGCUCGAGGAGGCCCGAGGAGGCGGCCAUGAGGAGCGCGCAGCCGCCGGAGUCCUGGGCAGAUCUAGCCGGGGCCGUCGGCAGCUAGCCAUCCCUUCCUCCGGGCGGCCAUGAAGAAUUGAAGCGGCUUGAGCAGAACUAGCGCAUGGACCAUGCGCACCUCCCGCCCUAGGAGCCACCGGUCCUCGUCAUCUGCUAUCAUCCACGAGGAAUCCAUCCAUAUAUCCAAAAGAAGGAUAAUUGAGUUGCAGCUGAGUUCUCCGAUUGGAUGAAGCAUAUAAAACUAGAAGAUUUUACUUAGCAAUAACCAUAGUUUACAUUUAUAGAUUGAAAAAUGUAAUGCCAUUCACAAGACCUUUUUCUUUGGUCGAAUUGAUGUAAAUGCUAUGAUGUAAUAUUCUUCAUAGGCGUGUUCUUAUAGUCAAAUUGAUACGAAUGAUAUGUUGUUGCACCAAUAACAUUGGUAUUUAUUUAUUGUAAUGCAUAUGUAUCCCGCACUCUUGUAUAUUCAUAAUAAAUACCUUUGAUAUUUUUAAUUUGUC